GAUCCUGGCUCAGGAUGAACGCUAGCGGCAGGCUUAACACAUGCAAGUCGAGGGGCAGCGCGGAGUAGCAAUACUCUGGCGGCGACCGGCGGAAGGGUGCGUAACACGUGAGCGACUUGCCCGUCACAGGGAGAUAACCGCUGGAAACGGCGACUAAUAUCCCAUAUGAUGGCGAUCUGCAUGGAUUGUCAUUGAAAGAUUCAUCGGUGGCGGAUAGG
rnacentral:rRNA from 1 species